rnacentral:rRNA from 1 species
CAGCAGCCACGGUAAUACGUAGGGUGCGAGCGUUAAUCGGAAUUACUGGGCGUAAAGCGUGCACAGGCGGUUUUGUAAGACAGGCGUGAAAUCCCCGGGCUCAACCUGGGAACUGCAUUUGUGACUGGCGAGCUAGAGUAUGGCAGAGGGGGGUAGAAUUCCACGUGUAGCAGUGAAAUGCGUAGAGAUGUGGAGGAACACCGAUGGCGAAGGCAGCCCCCUGGGCCAAUACUGACGCUCAUGCACGAAAGCGUGGGGAGCAAACAGGAUUAGAUACCCCAGUAGUCCCUGUCUCUUAUAC